rnacentral:rRNA from 1 species
UACAGGGGGUGCAAACGUUGCUCGGAAUCAUUGGGCGUAAAGAGCUCGUAGGCGGUCUGUUGCGUCGGCUGUGAAAACCCGGGGCUCAACUCCGGGCCUGCAGCCGAUACGGGCAGACUAGAGUUCGGCAGGGGAGACUGGAAUUCCUGGUGUAGUGGUGAAAUGCGUAGAGAUCGGGAGGAACACCCGUGGCGAAGGCGGCCUGCUGGGCCGAUCCUGACGCUGAGGCGCGAAGGCGUGGGGAGCGAACGGG